AAAUAUCUGAAAUUUUGAUGCCGCUUUGCUCACAAUGUCAUCCUUUAUCCUUUAAACCUGGAGUUGUCUGAGGUGGUUUGCAAACUGCAAAGCGCCCUGUUCCCAAUGAUGCACCUGAGAAGUCUGUAAAUGGGGUAAAUUUAGGCAAACACACCUGGAAAAGUGGCAUUUUGGAGUGGGGAAUGCUGUGGCCGGAGGUUAGCAACCGGAUGAUGCAAAAGCGUAUUUAAGGCAGCAGUUCUGGCCUUUCCCCGCCACGGAGCAGAAGCCCCCAUAGUGAUGUGAGAAGCGGCGCUGUCCCAGUUUACUAGGAUGGGAUGGGCUUUGGAUCUAACCAGCAGCGAAGAAAACCUGCGGUGCGGCUGCGCUCGGUAGUAGGGGUCCACAAAGCGUCAGAAUCUGCAGCAGCCCCGGCCUUUGCGAGCUCCAGCUCCGAAGUCAACCCGGCCCCCAAAUUCCACUGGGAAACCUUAAGACACCGGUGUUUUUACCGUAAGAAGACCUCAGAAGCCCAUGGAAACAAGGCGAUGACGGCGCUUGAGGGUGACCAGACCUCCUCAAUCAUUCCAUCAGCCACCCAGGACUCAACAGCAGAACCUCAGAGGACUCAGCUGAAAGAGGUUUUCACUCGAGCACUAACCACAGAGAAAUGGGAAGUGCCAUCCUGCUGUCAUACGCAGCCGAUGGCUGGGUAGGACUAAAUGCCCUUCUGUGGUGAGAUGAACCAAGACGGCAGAUGGGGGAAUAACAUCAGUGAGAGAGAGAUUACGAAUGGAUCCUUGUAUUGCAGAUCAAACUGGGUUGUCUCUUCUCAAACCACCCAGGCAGUUUCUGAAUGUCCCAAGAUAGGGGUAGGAGAAAAGAAAAAAAAGACAAAACAGGAGACGGUGGGUAAGAAAACCUAAAAGGCACAAUGAGGCAAAGGCCUAAGAUGGAGGCUGGCUUUGGGAUCUGAAAUCCGGCCACAAUCCUCCUUGUUUUACCUCAAGUCCAAGAAUUGUCAAAAAGAAAACCCAGAAGGGCUAUUCAUUCUAAAUUUUAAAAUCUUUUCUUCCUGGCCUACCAAGUCCUUGUGUUUUCUUUCUAGGCGCCCAUAAAUACAACCCCAUUACAGUUCUAUUUGGCUAAUAAUUUACAGAACAUUUAAAAUACCGGGUAGGUGAACAUCUCUUCAUGGCUUUUGUGUAAGGGCCUGAAGCGAAGAGAAAAACAACUGAUUGGAGAUUCCUAUCUGGCGCCUUCUCCAGGGAAACUGACAACCAGAGAAAUCUGUUGCUAGGAUUUCUAGGACAUCUGGAAAUUCCCUUUUUGUUCUUUCUCAACAAUAUAAAAUGGUAUAUUCGCAAACCUAUCUGAAUCACCUCAAUCUAGGCCACUUUGAAAAUUUCAUUUAAAAAUGUAAUCACAGAUUUUUAAACUAAUUACCCAAUUUGCAAACAAAUCCCAGCUACUUCUGGUCUUGAACAUGGAGCAAAGGUGUGUCAGUAAGGCCAACAUUCUUAGGUUGACAGAGACAGGUUAACACAUUGGCUGGCUCAGCCUGUGAAAAAGAACCAAUGAUGAUGCACACCCUGGCUGAAGUGACAUCUGGCCAAAGGAUUCCAACAGAAUGAAUUCCAUCAACAUGGAAAAGAUAAUCCAUGGCACCAAUUCUGUGCUGCUUACAGGCAAUGGUUACCAAAUGAGUCAAAACAUGGCCUAGAAGUGGAGCCGGGCCCAAUGAAAAGCCUGAGUUCACACGUGCUAGGGGCUCCACUGACCGGCCUCUGCAGCCCAGCACCCAGUCCUCUUGCUCUGGGUGCAAGGUGAGGAGGCAGAGUGCACACACCGGCUCCUGUGUCCCCGGCCUGGCUGGCAAUGGUAAAAUGGGCUGCCUUUCUUUUGCAGCUUCUUCUAAUCGAAAUACCAAAGGGUACUGACCUCUGGCCUCAGGGAUGUGACUUGCAGUGCAAAUUUUACCUCUUCAGUGCAGAGAGUGGUCUUGAAAUCUUGCCAGUGUGUGGCCCUCCCUCAGCUCCUGCCACCCUGGGGAGCCAGGAUGCUGAAAUGCAUAAGGCAAAAGCACUGAAUCGGAUCUAUUCCCCACUGACCUUUAGUUACGAUCACUCUGCCCUGACCAGCUGGAGUUGGGCCUGUGUGAAGCCAGUGAUUUCCAACACACUGAAGAAGGUAUCUGAGUCCAGUGUGAAAGCCAAAUUCCUCCUGAAUCUGUGAUUUGGUGAAGCUCUGUGAGGUAUUUUUUGUGUGUGGAAGACUGAAAGUGAAGGGAAACAACUAAAAAAAUUAAACAGACAAAAGCA